rnacentral:rRNA from 1 species
AAGAGACAGCAGUAGCCGCGGUAAUACGGAGGGUGCAAGCGUUAAUCGGAAUUACUGGGCGUAAAGCGCACGCAGGCGGUCUGACAAGUCAGAUGUGAAAUCCCCGGGCUUAACCUGGGAACUGCAUUUGAAACUGUCAGGCUGGAGUCUUGUAGAGGGGGGUGGAAUUCCAGGUGUAGCGGUGAAAUGCGUAGAGAUCUGGAGGAAUACCGGUGGCGAAGGCGGCCCCCUGGACAAAGACUGACGCUCAGGUGCGAAAGCGUGGGGAGCAAACAGGAUUAGAGACCCCAGUAGUCCCUGUCUCUUAUAC